GAGCAAAACAAUAUCAGCAUAACAUCAUUGAAGCCUUGAAAGCAAGCAAUGGAAAAACUGCAUGAUUUACUUGACUGGGAUCUGUGAAGCCCUUAGGAAGUGCAGAGUUCCUACAUCUCCUCUCCCAACACAAGUGCUGUAAGCAACCAAAGUCAAAAUUAGAGCAAUUGAGAAGCUGCUCUAGGUUGUGCUGCUCUGUGAACGGAUGCUGGCCAUCUCCAGAGACAUGAGGGUAUGUAACUCCAAGCCAUCAACAAGGAGCUCUUCUGGCACCAGCCUUCUUCCAUGCCCUCAUCCUCUCAUGUCUGAUGUUAGGCUCAGGUCUUUCAUUAAAUUAUCAUUUAAAUAUUCA